GGUUGGAGUUUCAAAACUUUCAAGAAAAAGCUUCUUUGGGUCAAGAAGC
rfam:Lactobacillus delbrueckii subsp. bulgaricus ATCC 11842 complete genome